CCCUUAGAGUUUGAUCAUGGCUCAGGAUGAACGCUAGCGGCAGGCCUAACACAUGCAAGUCGAACGGUAACAGGGAGAAGCUUGCUUUUCCGCUGACGAGUGGCGCACGGGUGCGUAACGCGUAUACAAUCUACCUUUUGCUGUGGGAUAGCCCAGGGAAACUUGGAUUAAUACCGCAUAGUAUAUAAGAUCGGCAUCGUUUUUAUAUUAAAGGUUACGGCAAAAGAUGAGUAUGCGUCCUAUUAGCUAGAUGGUGUGGUAACGGCACACCAUGGCGACGAUAGGUAGGGGCCCUGAGAGGGGGAUCCCCCACACUGGUACUGAGACACGGACCAGACUCCUACGGGAGGCAGCAGUGAGGAAUAUUGGGCAAUGGAGGCAACUCUGACCCAGCCAUGCCGCGUGCAGGAAGACUGCCCUAUGGGUUGUAAACUGCUUUUAUACGGGAAGAAACACCGCUACGUGUAGCGGCUUGACGGUACCGUAAGAAUAAGGAUCGGCUAACUCCGUGCCAGCAGCCGCGGUAAUACGGAGGAUCCAAGCGUUAUCCGGAAUCAUUGGGUUUAAAGGGUCCGUAGGUGGAUAAUUAAGUCAGAGGUGAAAUCCUGCAGCUCAACUGUAGAAUUGCCUUUGAUACUGGUUGUCUUGAGUCAUUGUGAAGUAGUUAGAAUAUGUAGUGUAGCGGUGAAAUGCAUAGAUAUUACAUAGAAUACCGAUUGCGAAGGCAGAUUACUAA
rnacentral:rRNA from 1 species